rnacentral:lncRNA from 10 species
UGUGCUAUGUGUCUUUGACUUGCUAUGUAAACCCAGGACAGUUACUCAGCUCUUUUAAGUUACUAUCUCUUCCUCUGUGAGAAGUCUUUGGGCCGUGCAUACAUGGAAAACCUCCCCUGACUAACACUUUUGUCUUAGUCUUUCUGUCUUUUGCAUAACUAAGUCACACUAAAUUCCCAGUUGUGAAGAUUAGCUAAAAUCAUGAAUGCAGUAUAUUAUUAAGUACAUUACUUAGAACAGAAAUUAAUAUUAUUCUUUGGGCUCUGUUUCUUGUAUAAGCCUGGGCUCUUUGCAGAAGCUAAGGGUUGCUUCCCCAUGACAUUUUUCUAACAGGUAGGGCAAAGUGAAGAGAUAAGUGUACAGCCAGGUUGAGCCACACUACCCUAUCUUCUCCCAUCUAGGCUUGAAGAUUGGUAGUGGUACAUCAAGUGGGUCCAGUGGCACCUGUUCAUCCUGUUCAUGUCAUCUUUCUUUCUUUGGUGGCUUCAAUUCCUUUAAUUUUUUUUUUUUUUUUGCCGUCAGCUGCUCCAUUUGACCCUUCAAUAGCUUUGACUCAGACACAUACAUGUGAAUGAGAAUAAGAAUACAUUUGGUACAUUUGACUGCUUUUGCUCUAAUGGCCUAAGUACCGGUCCAGAUGAACCCAAACAACUGUCCUGUUGCAUAGGUACAGGGACCACCUUUGAUGCAUAAACUGAGAGUCCCUGGAAGAGAUCCACAAGGUACACAAAGAUCACAAGGCAGACCAUCAAACUGAUUUUAAAAAACUGCACUGAAGCCAAGAUCCUGCACAUUAUCAUCAAGCAUGGCUCACAGAAAGAAGGAACAAUGACCACAUUCGCCAAAAGGGUAUCUCCAUAGACAAGCUCUGUGAACACAUCUGCCACCAAAACAUUCUACGUUGCUCUGAUUAGCCUCAAGAAAGUGGGACCUAAGUGGGGU